rnacentral:ncRNA from 20 species
AAAUAGAAUAGUGGUUUAGGUGCCCUAUGGGUUAAAAGGGAAAGUGGUGAAAUUCCACUACAGCCCCCGCUACUGUAAAUGGUGACGAAUUCCAUAUCCACUGGCUUUGCUGGGAAGGAGGAAAGAGGAUUUAGCCAUGAGUCAGGAAACCUGCCUGAACUAAAAGCAUUCUU